rnacentral:ncRNA from 1 species
AAAAAGGCGUUGAUUAGGAGAGUAGGUUUGUUGAUGCUUACCAGAGAGAGGCUAUCAUCGGCUGGAAGUAGCCUUAAGCUAUAAACAAAUUGAAGUGCACCUAUGAGCCUAAGACUGAAAUGUAAAGUAGGUCUUUACGGGUGACUCCGUUAAAAGUUUUUAGAGUUGGGGCAAUUACUGCCUAAACAGAGUGGAACCGCGGAUAACCUCCGUCUCUGGU